CCAUCUUCUCCCUUGAGACGAAAAGACUUAAAUUUGCAAGGUAACUGGUUAUUAGGAGAAUGCAAGCCCCACAGGGGCAGGGACCCCCGGUGUCUGCUCCCUGGUCUCUUUCAAGCACCUGAUGAAGAGGGUCUGCAGGGCGCUCUGUGGAAUGAAGGAAGGAACCUCGCCAGGUUGAGCUUAACUGUCACCUACGAAGACAGCCCCCGAGGGACUGAAUGCUGCCAACACCACAGGAAUGAGCUCCACAUGGCUCCUUCCCCAGGUGAACCUUCAAAUAAGACCACAGCCCAUGCUGACACCUUGACUGUAGCCUGUGACAGAACCCAAGCAGAGGACCCAGCAAAGCCCUGCCUAGAUUCCUUACCCACAGAAAACGUGAGAGAAUAAAUACAUGUUGUU